rnacentral:rRNA from 1 species
CCAGACUCCUACGGGAGGCAGCAGUGGGGGAUAUUGCACAAUGGGGGGAACCCUGAUGCAGCGACGCCGCGUGGGUGAAGAAGCGCCUCGGCGCGUAAAGCCCUGUCGGCAGGGAAGAAAAUGACGGUACCUGAGGAAUAAGCCACGGCUAACUACGUGCCAGCAGCCGCGGUAAUACGUAGGUGGCAAGCGUUAUCCGGAUUUACUGGGUGUAAAGGGCGCGCAGCCGGAGAGACAAGUCAGAUGUGAAAUCCCCGGGCUCAACCCGUGAACUGCAUUUGAAACUGUUUGCCUGGAGUGUGGGAGAGGUAGGCGGAAUUCCUUGUGUAGCGGUGAAAUGCGUAGAUAUAAGGAAGAACACCAGUGGCGGAGGCGGAUUACUGGAC